CUCACUGCCCAGGGAGGGCUGAUAUCUAGUGUUGAGAGAAGAUAUGAUUCUAUGUAUUAUUAGCAGUCAAACUUCCUGGUGAGGGACAACUCAAGUUGUUAAUUAUUGUAAAACUGCCUGAUGAGGGAUGACAGAAGGCGUUAUUGGUUGUGAAACUGCCUGGGGAUGGAUGGUUCAAGGUGUGAAUUAUGGUCAAAAUACCUGGGGAGGGAAGACUUAAAGUGUGAUCAGAAGAGGUGACUGCAAGGGGAGGGAUUACUCAAAGUGACCAGUGGUGAAACAGUCUGGUAAGGGAUACAGCAAGGUGUUGAUGUUAGUGGAAGUGCAAAGGAGUGGUGGUAAAACUGGCCAGGGAGGGGUAAUUCGUCGUGUUUAAGGAAGAUAUGUUUCUAUGUAUUAUUAGCAGUCAAACUUGACUCGAGGUGUUUGUGGUCGUGAAACUGCCUGGUGAGGGUUCUCAGGACUUUUCACAGCACCUGAUAAAUUAUGUUGUAGAACCAUCCUCUAAGGAAGACUUGGAGUCAUUUACUGUCCGUCUCCUCACUGUCCUUUUACAAUUAGAUAAUCUAUAACUAAUAAUUCUAAAUAUCGUUCCUCUGUUUCUGACUGAAACUGAAGCUUCAGUUGAACGUUUGUGUCUUCGUUGCAGCUCGUUGUGUAAAACAGAACGUCACACUGUUGAAACGUCCAGUUUUUGGUUUCUGCCGGUCACCGUGACGACCAGCAGCCUGUAAAAACAGACGGUUUUCUUUCAGCAACCAGAAAAAAAAAGGAAACAAGAUGAGGUGACUGUUUGGGAGGUGUGGGAACCUGCUGACCAAGAGUGUGUGUUCAAUGUGUGUGUUCUCAUCAUGCUUGUGUGUGUGUCUUUGUGUGUCUUUGUGAGUUGUGUGUGUGGAUGGACAGAUGAAUGGGCAGAGAUGUAAUUAAAUCGUCAUCCUUCAGCUCCGGCUGAAAGUCUGUCUCCUCCUCCAUCUCUCUGAGCGACGUCCCGUCAGAAGCCCGACUCUCAGGCCUCAAGGUCGGCUGGAUGGAGGCCAGUGAGGUCCCUGGGGGCCCCAGAAACACCAGAAACAGUGACACAUGAUGGGAUACAGAACCGGAGAGCUGCACCUGAGGAGGACAACUGCAGCUGCUGAACGCUCCAAAGGUCCUUUAGUGAAGGUUCAGUGUGAUGAACAGAUUAAAUAUGGCUUUGUCAAAAGAAGAAAGAGUUGAACUGGUACGUCUCAGUGGACGUAAAGGACGAACAUAUGGAACAAGAGCAGAUGAAUUUAAUGCAUCCAAGGAGGAUUCCACUUGGCUUUUCCACGGUGGUGAAGGUGGUUAAAAAGUUCAAAGAAACAGGCAGUGGAUGGACAAACCCCAUUCUGGACGACCAAAUGUAUCAGCCGAAAAUAAAGAAUUAGUAAUGGCUGAAAUUCAUGCUAGCUACAAAAAAUAAAUUCCCUAGCCCUAACCCUGUCGUUCGAUAUGUCCACUGUGCGUCUCGUCAAAGUGUUGCGAUUCAGUGCAAGUUUUAGGCCACAACAGCACAAUCGCUGCUUCUUACCUGCCCUAUUUGCCAGAUUCUACUUCUUUUUAUUCCCCCAAAAUGAAAUUAAAGUUGAAAAAUCUCAGUUUUUACUCAGUUUAGGAGGGUCAGCUCAUUGGAGAUUACAGAAGUGGACUUUACAAGUGUCGCAGGAGCACUGGGAGCAGAGCACCGCUGCACAAGGAGACUAAUAACAGUAAGGACAACCAAAUUUAAAUCCA
ensembl:lncRNA